rfam:Salmo salar isolate Sally breed double haploid chromosome ssa04, whole genome shotgun sequence.
CCCUGUGGCUCAGUUGGUAGAGCAUGGUGUUUGCAACGCCAGCAUGGUGUGUGCAACGCCAGGGUUGUGGGUUCGAUUCCCACCGGGG